rnacentral:rRNA from 1 species
AAAGCUUCCUUCGGGAAGUUAGUAAAGUGGCGGACGGGUGAGUAACACGUGGGUAAUCUGCCCUUGAGUGGGGAAUAACUUUGGGAAACCGAAGAUAAUACCGCAUACGACCCUUCGGGGUGAAAGCUUUAUGCGCUCAAGGAUGAGCCCGCGGUCGAUUAGCUUGUUGGUGGGGUAAUGGCUCACCAAGGCUACGAUCGAUAUCCGGCCUGAGAGGGCACACGGACACACUGGCACUGAGACACGGGCCAGACUCCUACGGGAGGCAGCAGUGGGGAAUCUUGGACAAUGGGGGAAACCCUGAUCCAGCGAUGCCGCGUGACCGAUGAAGGCCCUCGGGUCGUAAAGGUCUUUCGAUGGGGACUAUAAUGAAGGUACCCAUAAAAGCAGGAGCGGCUAACUAUGUGCCAGCAGCCGCGGUAAUACAUAGGCUCCAAGCGUUGUUCGGAAUUACUGGGCGUAAAGCGAGUGUAGGUGGCCUGCCAAGUCGAUUGUGAAAUCUCCCGGCUCGACUGGGAGGGUGCGGUCGAAACUGGCAGGCUAGAGUUCGGGAGAGGAGAGUGGAAUUCCUGGUGUAGCGGUGAAAUGCGUAGAUAUCAGGAGGAACACCGGAGGUGAAGACGGCUCUCUGGACCGAUACUGACACUGAGACUCGAAAGCGUGGGGAGCAAACAGGAUUAGAUACCCUGGUAGUCCACGCCCUAAACGAUGCGUACUUGGUGUGGGCACUUCACUGUGUCCGUGCCGAAGUUAACACGAUAAGUACGCCGCCUGGGGAGUACGGUCGCAAGGCUGAAACUCAAA